rnacentral:rRNA from 1 species
UACGGAGGGAGCUAGCGUUGUUCGGAAUUACUGGGCGUAAAGCGCACGUAGGCGGCUUUGUAAGUUAGAGGUGAAAGCCCGGGGCUCAACCCCGGAAUUGCCUUUAAGACUGCAUCGCUUGAAUCCGGGAGAGGUGAGUGGAAUUCCGAGUGUAGAGGUGAAAUUCGUAGAUAUUCGGAAGAACACCAGUGGCGAAGGCGGCUCACUGGACCGGUACUGACGCUGAAAUACGAAAGCGUGGGGAGCAAACAGG